rnacentral:rRNA from 1 species
UACAGAGGUGGCAAGCGUUGUUCGGAAUUACUGGGCGUAAACGGCGCGUAGGCGGCUCGAUCAGUCAGGGGUGAAAUCCCAGGGCUCAACCCUGGAACUGCCUUUGAUACUGUCGAUCUGGAGUAUGGAAGAGGUGAGUGGAAUUCCGAGUGUAGAGGUGAAAUGCGUAGAUAUCUGGAGGAACACCGGUGGCGAAGGCGGCGUUCUGGACUGCUACUGACACUGAGGAACGAAAGCCAGGGGAGCAAACGGG